rnacentral:lncRNA from 7 species
CCCAGGACAUUGGACAGAUCUUCAAAAGACAACUGUAAAAGAAGAUGAACUGUAAAAAGCAUUUCAGAUGCUUGAUGUUGCUCAGACCCUGACAGCCACAAAGGAUGAAUUCAGGAGAGUGACUGAAACCUUUCUUGACUGUCUAACAGAAUCUGAAUUUGAUGCUAUGCUGGCAGAGACUUGGACUGAAAGCCACAGGUAAAAUAGCCUGGCAACAAUUUUUAGAAAAACUCAGAGAUCCUGGAAGCACUUUUGAAAACAGGCAGGAAAAAUAAAUCCAGCUAGAUGAGAUGAAGCUUUUCCCACCGCCACUGUUCUCCAGAAGCUGCGUGGAUACAUCCCAGAUACUUAUCCCCCUUUAAAUUAGGCAUUCCUUAUGCUUGAUGAAAAGAUGAAAUGAUCACAAGAAAUAACUUUUGUCAUGUUUCACAUUACACUGUGUUUCAAGUCAAAGAUAAAGACUUCCAAGAGCUAAUCCAGAUCAGACUGGACAUUUAGGUAUCAUGAAUUUUUCAGUUCGAAGAAAAAGAAUCUGGGGGAAAGAAUGUUCCUGCAGGUGCACUGCAAGUUUUCCCUGAAGCAGAAUAUGAGUUGUACUUCAGUCAAGAAAUCAGCCUGUUUGCCUUUUGCAAGCUGAGUUUGUCUAUCCUGUUCUUGAGGUCAAGAGAGCUUUCUUUUUGCGCUGGGAAGAACAGAUCUUUCAGAUGUUCUCUGAAGUUAUUUUUGCUGAGAUGUCCAAUGCCAUUUCUACAUAGAGACUAUCAAAGCAGAGAGCCAGCUAGAUAAAAAAUGCAUAUGACUCACCAACACGGAAUACAGACUGUCAGUCGGACACAGUACAGAAAACUAAAUCAAUGACCGCAGUAGUAAGUAUUUUCGUCUUCCAAUUCUGCUGAUAAAUCUGGAGAUAUAUCCAUACCUACAAAAAGCAUUAUGCUUCCAAAACUGAUUGUCACAGCAGACUGUUCAGUUACAUCUGUCAGAUCUGAAUGAAGAACUUCAAGACCCAGCCCCAGAGAGAUGGGAAUAUGCAGGGAGUAGGGUUUAGGCUCUCACAUAGGUGGUUAAUGUACUUGUGGCUUAUUACUUGAAAGCAGACAAAUGACACAAUUUUCACUGAAUACUGCAAGCUGGAAACUGGACAAGAAACAACAUGGGCCAAGCCCAGCGAAACAUCUGCUGAUGGAUUUUCUAGCUGCUGACAAAUGGGAGAGAUAACAGCCCUGUCUUUCCAACUAGAAGAAUGAACAGUUUCUCUCCUUUCCUGACUGUCAGUUUGGCAAAACUUGUAACCGCAGUUUCUUAAGACUUUUACCAAUCUCAAGUUUAAAUGAAAUUGGUAGAUGAACUCCAAAUCUGGGAGAAAGGCAGACAAGGUUUGGAUUAAAAGGUUGACUGCAUUAUGCUUAUUUCUUUAGGAAACCACGUUGAAAGUAGCACUGGUUGGAGGGUAGUGUAAUUUUAAAUAUAAGCUUGCCUGAAAUCUGGGUAGAUUGCAAGGAUCCCUAGUGGCUCUCAUGUCUCUUAACAGGCUUUGAACUCUUUGUGACUCUGUAAUUACUGCCUGAAAGCAAGAAUAAAUUUCUUGUAAUUC